rnacentral:rRNA from 1 species
UACGUAGGGUGCAAGCGUUGUCCGGAAUUAUUGGGCGUAAGAGCUCGUAGGCGGUCUGUCGCGUCGGCUGUGAAAUCCCGAGGCUCAACCUCGGGUCUGCAGUCGAUACGGGCAAACUGGAGUGUUGCAGGGGAGACUGGAAUUCCUGGUGUAGCGGUGAAAUGCGCAGAUAUCAGGAGGAACACCGGUGGCGAAGGCGGGUCUCUGGGCAACAACUGACGCUGGAGGAGCGAAAGCGUGGGGGAGCGAACAGG